GACGAACGCUGGCGGCGUGCUUAACACAUGCAAGUCGAACGGAAAGGCCCUGCUUUUGUGGGGUGCUCGAGUGGCGAACGGGUGAGUAACACGUGAGUAACCUGCCCUUGACUUUGGGAUAACUUCAGGAAACUGGGGCUAAUACCGGAUAGGAGCUCCUGCUGCAUGGUGGGGGUUGGAAAGUUUCGGCGGUUGGGGAUGGACUCGCGGCUUAUCAGCUUGUUGGUGGGGUAGUGGCUUACCAAGGCUUUGACGGGUAGCCGGCCUGAGAGGGUGACCGGCCACAUUGGGGCUGAGAUACGGCCCAGACUCCUACGGGAGGCAGCAGUGGGGAAUAUUGCACAAUGGGCGGAAGCCUGAUGCAGCAACACCGCGUGCGGGAUGACGGCCUUCGGGUUGUAAACCGCUUUCGCCUGUGACGAAGCGUGAGUGACGGUAAUGGGUAAAGAAGCACCGGCUAACUACGUG
rnacentral:rRNA from 1 species